GAUACCCAGAUACACACGUCAAUCUUAUGACACCUCGGGGGUUUAAAAUGAUAGCUCUCAAACACCAAACAAACCACGUUGUACAUCGAUUACAGAAUUACAAGAAUAUGAGACGAAUGUUUGCUAUAUCAAGGGGCUCGGGAAAGCGUAAUGAGAGAACAGCUUGUGAAGCGUGAGAGCAGAAACAGAAUUGUAUUGGCAAGAGCGUUGAUACCGAGGAAGAGUAUUUUGAACAAGAACAUAAUAGUUGCAGCGUGUCCACUUUUUUGGAUUUUUGGAUCAAUUUUAUAUAUGAAAUAUGGAAUUUAAUUGAUAUAUUUGGCCAAGUCAAGAAUUAGUUGAAUACAUUAUGCCGGAGACAUUUAAAAGAGGUUUCCCAAAUUCCAAGUACAAGAAUUAUUGUGGACACAACAGAAAUACCCAUUACAAAGCCUGGUAAUCCUAUAGCACAGCAGGUGACAUUUAGCAAUUAUAAACACAGAAAUACUGUGAAAACUAUGAUUGGGGCAACACCUGGUAGUGUAAUAUCAUAUAUCUCAGAAUGUUAUGGUGGUUCCGUUAGUGAUAGACAUAUUAUAGAAAGAUCUGAACUGGUAAAUCGUUGUGACAGUGGUGACUGACUCUAUUAUGGUUGAUAGAGGUUUCAAUGUGCAGGAUAUAUUUGCUACAAAAGACAUUACUAUUAAUAUUCCAACAUAUUUGAAAGGAAAGACACAAAUAACUGGUAUUAGAAUAGUCCAAGGCCGAAACUAGCAACCAAACGAGUGCACAUAGAACGUAUUAUAAGAUAAGAUUUUAAAAAGUGAAUUAAGCCCAUACCAUGUAGCCUUAGCAUCUAGAAUUAUAUUCAUUUGUGCUUUUGUAUGUAAUUUUAGAGAAAAUAUUAUGAAUUAAAAGCUGUUUUAUCUCCGUUAUAUAAAUUUUUUAUUACACAUUCUUUUUCUUUUUAGAGGUGAUUUUUAAUCACAGCAGCUUUAAAUAAGUUGUGAUAAAAAUAAUCAAGUUUGUCUAACAUGUAGUUAAUGAAUUCUUCAUCAUAUUCAAUGAAUAUGACUUCUAAACUUUUAAAAGUAUAAACCAAUAAGUUACAAAAUUUUCUUUUUGUGACAUACAAUUAAUUGCUCUUGUAUUUGAUAAUAAUAUAUGUUUUUCUUUUUGAAUGAGAGUUUUCCUUUUUCAUAUUGUAGAUAUGGCAUAUUCAGUGGACUGACUUCUUUGUUCCUCGAACUAUAUGGACAUUUUACUUCAAUUAUUGUUUCUGCUCCCAGUAAGCCGUCAGGGGAUGCUCCUAGGUAAGGGCGAUCCUUACACAAAAAUAACCUACAUUCUACAAUUUCAAAAUUUAUAAUUGAACCAAACAAUGGGCGAUUGUCUGAACACCACAGGCCACUGUGGCGACUGCAUCCAUUUCUGAACGCAGCUGUCACUCACAAUAACUGACAUUGACGUGCGUUUGUUUGGCGCGUUAGAAAGAUGACACAUGUCUAUUCUACCGCUCUCUUGUCCU